rnacentral:misc_RNA from 1 species
AAGUCGUAACAAGGUUUCCGUAGGUGAACCUGCGGAAGGAUCAUUAUCUUUCUGUUGGAUGUGGUCGCGGCCCCCGUAACCCGGGCGGUAGGGGUAACACCCUCACGCGCCACAUGCACUAAUCCUCUUUUUACGAGCACCUUCUGUUCUCCUUCGGCGGGGCAACCUGCCGUUGGAACCAACAAAACCUUUUUUGAAUUCAGUAUUACCUGUUCUGAUACAAACAAUCGUAACAACUUUCAACAAUGGAUCUCUUGGCUCUG